AAGUGUAUAGCUUAGUUAGGUAAAGCAGUAGACUUUUAAUCUAUUUAUCUUGGGUUCGAAUCCUAAUACACUUA
rnacentral:tRNA from 1 species